rnacentral:rRNA from 1 species
UACAGAGGUCCCGAGCGUUGUUCGGAUUUAUUGGGCGUAAAGGGUGCGUAGGCGGCGGAGUAAGUUGGGUGUGAAAUCCCGGGGCUCAACCUCGGAAUGGCAUUCAAUACUGCUUCGCUAGAGUACUGGAGAGGAGGCUGGAAUUUACGGUGUAGCAGUGAAAUGCGUAGAUAUCGUAAGGAAGGCCGGUGGCGAAAGCGAGCCUCUGGACAGUUACUGACGCUGAUGCACGAAGGCCAGGGGAGCAAACAGG